UACGUAGGACCCAAGCGUUAUCCGGAAUUACUGGGCGUAAAGAGUUGCGUAGGCGGCUUGUCAAGCGGAGUGUGAAAUCGUGUGGCUCAACCAUGCGGCUAUGCUCUGAACUGACUGGCUAGAGUAUGGAAGAGGUAACUGGAAUUCCUAGUGUAGGAGUGAAAUCCGUAGAUAUUAGGAGGAACACCGAUGGCGUAGGCAGGUUACUGGUCCAUUACUGACGCUCAGGCACGAAAGCGUGGGGAGCAAACGGG
rnacentral:rRNA from 1 species